GAGAGCUCUCAUUUUCCCCCCUUGCUCGGGAUGGUGCCACAGGAGGCUGUGCGGGCCCCGCUCCGCUUCGAAUGGAUACAGUUAAGCUAAUGAUCUCGAGAGGAUAUCGUCCUGGAUAAGGGUGGAGCCUACGCCCAAAAACAAGAUUACCUGAAAGAGAAAAGAAAGGGGGAAAACACACAGAGAUACAGUCGGGGAGGCCACAUGAAGAUGGAGGCAGAGACAGGAGUGAUGAGCCUGCAAGCCAAGGAAUGCCAAGGGCUGCCAGCAGCCAUGAGAAGCUGAGAGACACAGAGAACGAGUCCUCUGCCAGAGCCUCCAGAAGGAACUAACCCUGUCAAUACCUUGAUUUCGGACUUCUGGACUCCAGAACUGUGAGAGAAUAUAUUUCUGUUGUUUUAAGCCAUUCAGUUUGUAGUAAUUGGUUACAAUAGCCAUGGGAAGCUAACAUAGGGUCCUUCAACAAUCAAAGCAAAAAAGAGGACCUAUUAGCACAUGGAGUGCAAAGGAGGAAGGAAUGACUGAGCUGUUUGAAAGUGCAGCGGGAUGUCAUGGGCAACCAGAACUCAGGUCCAAAUUCUGCCAGAACUCUCCCUCUGUGUUAGUCUAUUCUCACACUGCUAAUAAAGACAUACCUGAGACUGGCUGAUUUAUAAAGGAAAGAGGUUCAAUUGACUCACAGUUCUGCAGGGCUGCGGGGGGGACUCAGGAAACUUACAAUCAUGACAAAAGUGGAAGCAAACACAUCCUUCUUCACAUGGCAGCAAGGAGAAGUGCCGAGCCAAAGGAGGAAAAGCCCCUUAUAAAACCAUCAGAUUUCAUGAGAACUCACUCACUAUCAUGAGCACAGCAGCAUGGGGAUAACUGCCCCCACGAUUCAAUUACCUCCCACCAGGUCCCUACCAAGACACGUGGAGAUUAUGGGAAUUACAAUUCAAAAUGAGAUUUGG
rnacentral:lncRNA from 10 species